GGUUCCAUGGUCUAGUGGUUAUGAUUUCUGUCUAACACACAGAAGGUUCCCAGUUCGAUCCUGGGUGGAGCCA